rnacentral:rRNA from 1 species
UUGAGGAAUUUUCCGCAAUGGGCGAAAGCCUGACGGAGCAAUGCCGCGUGAAGGAUGAAGGCCUAUGGGUUGUAAACUUCUUUUCUCAGAAAAGAAUUAUGACGGUAUCUGAGGAAUAAGCAUCGGCUAACUCUGUGCCAGCAGCCGCGGUAAGACAGAGGAUGCAAGCGUUAUCCGGAAUGAUUGGGCGUAAAGCGUCUGUAGGUUGUUUAAAAAGUAUUCUGUCAAAGAUAGGGCUUAACCCUAGAUAGGCAGAAUAAACUUUUAAGCUAGAGUUUGGUAGAGGCAGAGGGAAUUCCCGGUGGAGCGGUGAAAUGCGUAGAUAUCGGGAGGAACACCAAAGGCGAAGGCACUCUGCUGGGCCAAUACUAACACUGAGAGACGAAAGCGAGGGGAGCAAAUGGGAUUAGAUACCCCGGUAGUCC